CCUACGGGUGGCAGCAGUGGGGAAUAUUGGACAAUGGGGGCAACCCUGAUCCAGCCAUGCCGCGUGUGUGAAGAAGGCCCUCGGGUUGUAAAGCACUUUCAGUGAGGAAGAACGCCUGGUGGUUAAUACCCAUCAGGAAAGACAUCACUCACAGAAGAAGCACCGGCUAACUCCGUGCCAGCAGCCGCGGUAAUACGGAGGGUUCGAGCGUUAAUCGGAAUUACUGGGCGUAAAGCGCGCGUAGGUGGCUUGAUAAGCCGGUUGUGAAAGCCCCGGGCUCAACCUGGGAACGGCAUCCGGAACUGUCAAGCUAGAGUGCAGGAGAGGAAGGGAGAAUUCCCGGUGUAGCGGUGAAAUGCGUAGAGAUCGGGAGGAAUACCAGUGGCGAAGGCGGCCUUCUGGGCUGACACUGACACUGAGGUGCGAAAGCGUGGGUAGCAAACAGGAUUAGAUACCCCGAGUAGUC
rnacentral:rRNA from 1 species